ACGCUCGACACCUACGGGAGCAGCAGUGGGGAAUAUUGCACAAUGGGGGAAACCCUGAUGCAGCGACGCCGCGUGAGCGAAGAAGUAUUUCGGUAUGUAAAGCUCUAUCAGCAGGGAAGAAACUGACGGUACCUGACUAAGAAGCACCGGCUAAAUACGUGCCACAGCCGCGGUAAUCUGAGCGGGCGUGCGAAGGC
rnacentral:rRNA from 1 species